rnacentral:rRNA from 1 species
UACGUAGGGUGCAAGCGUUAAUCGGAAUUACUGGGCGUAAAGCGUGCGCAGGCGGUCGUGCAAGACCGAUGUGAAAUCCCCGGGCUUAACCUGGGAAUGGCAUUGGUGACUGCACGGCUAGAGUGUGUCAGAGGGGGGUAGAAUUCCACGUGUAGCAGUGAAAUGCGUAGAGAUGUGGAGGAAUACCGAUGGCGAAGGCAGCCCCCUGGGAUAACACUGACGCUCAUGCACGAAAGCGUGGGGAGCAAACAGG